GGCCCGAUCGCCAAGUUGGCUAAGGCAAUGGUUUGCAAAACCAUCAUUCGCCGGUUCGAAUCCGGCUCGGGCCUCAA
rnacentral:tRNA from 1 species